rnacentral:SRP_RNA from 1 species
AAUCUCCUGCAACGCUACUCUGUUUACCAGGUCAGGUCCGGAAGGAAGCAGCCAGAGCAGACGACGUGUGUGCCGGGAUGUAGCU